rnacentral:hammerhead_ribozyme from 1 species
AUUCGACUGACGAGUCCCAAACAGGACGAAACGCGCGUCCUGAAU